rnacentral:hammerhead_ribozyme from 1 species
GUACUGCUGAAGAGUCUUGAACGAGAGAACGAAACAGCUGUCCAGUAC